rnacentral:sRNA from 1 species
GCUGGGCAAGGUGGUGCAUGCCUAUAAUCCCAGCUGCUCAGGAAGCUGAGACAGGAAGAUCGUGAGUUCAAAGCCAGCCUCAGCAAAAAGUGAGGCACUAUGCAAUUCAGUGAGAAUCUGUCUUAA